ensembl:lncRNA
UGGCCAGAAGCCCUCCCUCACCUUUUCCAGGUUAAUCAUUAACUUCUCAUUAUGAACGCAGAAGCACCUUUACGCACAGUACCCUGACUCUGUCCAGGGCAAACACCUUGCUCGGGGCAGUGCCCUCUGCCCUCACCCAUUCCCCAGUGGUCUCAGGGGUUCAUGGCCUUGCAGGGCAGGUCCCCAUCCCCUGGGCCUUCCCGAGCCGCCCCAGGACACAGGAAGCCGGGCAGACGUGCGGGCUGCCUCUUCCUCCAUCCCAGAGCCCAGUGCCUGCCCAGCAGACGGACACUCCACACCCCUGGGAGAAAGGCCCCAACCUAACACCCUCUGCCACCUGCACGGGGGCACUUGGGACCUGGCUCGGGCAGGGGUAAGGGAUGGUGCCCGCAGGAGCCAAGGCAGGACCUCUCCAAGGACCAAACAGCUGGGGCAUCACCCUGAGGGUGGAACUCAGCGAGGGCUGGCAGAGCACAGACUGCAUCCAGACACCGCGGCCCCAGCCAGACUCCGUGCUGUCAGACAAACAUGCAAGUGAAUCACCACCUGCCCGGUUUCCGCUGCAGACGCGGAGGGCGAGAACCCAGGACACCUGCAUUGUGGGCACCGGCAUUGUGUCCCUGCGGCAGGAGCGCUGACUACUGCACUGGCAGCUGGGAAAGGGUCAUGCCCUGCCUCCAAGGUCCUGUCCUGAGGAGCCAGGUUUGGGGUCUGUCAACUCUGUCACCUGCUUGUCUGUGUGGAUAAUUGAGGCCUCCACCCAAACAAAGAAGACAUGAAAGGUGACCAAGAUGCUGUUGGGAGACAUCAUCCCAAGAUUUUGGGUACUCCUGUCCUUAGGGUCACACAAUGGACCAACAUUCAUAGCCAAGAAAGUCCAGGAGUUCACACUGAUGUUAAAGAAAUGAGAUCAAGUCCUGCCCAUGGUCCUCCUCUGAGUCCAGUACACCCCCACCAAACAAACUGGGCAUUCCCCUUAUGAGAUUCUAUAUGACCAGCCACCCCCCAAUCAUAGGUCAAAUUAAAGGUAAUCUUUGUAAACUAAAAAAUUUGUCCCUGAGAAAAUAAAUGUAGGUUUUGGGAAUAGCCCUACAAGAUAUCUAUUGCUUCGUACAAGAGAAAAUGCUCAUAAACUUAACAGACCCAGUAUACCCAUUCAAACCUAGGGACUUUGUUUGGGUCAAAAAAAAAAGGGCUGGGGAUUUAGCUCGGUGGUUCCACUGCCUGCCUCACAAGUGCAAGGUCCUGAGUUUGAUUCCUGGUAUGAAAAAAACACAAAAAACAAAAAAACAACUCUAGGGCCCAUAUAGGAUGGGCCUUAUACUGUGAUUCUGUCCACCUCCACUGCUGUUAAAGUUACAAGAACUGUGUCUUAGAUCUACCACAGUCCGCUAAAGCCAACAGCCCAAGACAAGUAGACCAGCCGGCAGGAUCCUGUGACAAGAUCAGGCUGCCACUACAGACAACACCUGCUCUAGUCACCCUGGAAGCUACUCAAACAGAAGACUGAAGAUCAACAUAAGUCCCAUAUCCUUUUUGUUAUAACUUUCCCUUGCCUCUUACCCCUACUUGUCAGAAACAUUCAGACAGCUGUGGAGACUCUGGUAGGCAGGCACACCACCGACUGAUGGUCUUACCCAAGCACCAACCUCUGCUCAGUGGGCUGUGCUGAGCAACCCCUUGUGACAAAAAUUGAUAAUAAUAAUCAUGAUAAAGAUGGUGCUCUCUGGUAAAACUUGUUAUAGAAAGCAUCAAAGAGGGGAACAAAGCAGAACUUAAAAGAAAAUCAGUUCUCCUAGCUGAAAGCAGUCUAACAGCUCCCUGUUCAGAUUCUGCCUUACCCUUUCCCAUAACUACUGACCUCCCCCUGGUCCUGAUAAGGUAAACAGUCCUAUCACUGUACAGGAACCCCCAAAGAACUAUGUGUUCUGUGAACAACUAUAUUCUAUAAACAAACUCUGUUCCCAUGUGAUUCAUAAGACACUCUCUUCUUACAAGGCUAAAUUACUGAACUGUCUAUCCCUGUUCUGUUCUGUUUAAACUCACUUACUUUGUCACUAAUAGACCACUCCCCUUUGACUAAAUGUAUAAAAACUGAAACUUCUCUUUGUUCAGUUCCUCAGCUUUGGGACACGAGUCCAUCAGGCUGGUGUUCACCCUACUAGACCCUUUUGAUUCCCACUGGGUCUCUCUUGUCCCUGAGAAUUCUGCAUAGUGAUGAGGAGCAGGUGCAGCACUCAGCAUGGUGUCCGAGCCCAUCUGUGCGCUGCUGUGGUGAGGAGGAGCCAUCUGCUCAGCCCUGCUGUUCAUGGCCACUGUGCCGUUUCCAGGGUCAUGGCUGGGCAGUGAGCCCUGCUGCCCAUCGCUGUGGGAACCCGAUCUCCUCCUCUGUGGGAAGCCCUAUGUGGUGGUCUGGGCCUCAGGUGUUGUCUUGUUCCUGCAGUGGUGCUGUGAGCCAGGUGUGUGGCAGCUCUAGGGUGGGGCCAGGGUGAGUGCUUCAUGGAGCCCUCAUGGCUCACACUGGCUGGCAGACCCCAGGAGGACACUGUUGGGUCAGCAUCCUGGGGUGUGGGGGUCGGAGUGCAGAAGUCAGCUGAUGACCUGGGAACCAGGAGGGAGGGGGUGCUCUGGUUCCAGGUGCCCCGGGGUGUGGGUGACACGGAAGCCACCUGUGUCUGGGCCGCCUCAGGUGCUGGGCAAAGGCAGCUGUGGGCAGGAUGGGAUUCCAUCCUGAGGGUCUCUCAGGGCAGUGAGAAACCCACAACCUUGCUGCCUCCUCCUGGGCACUGCUUGUGGGGCCCUGGGGGUCUUGGUGCUGGGGGGCUGAGCCGGAGCAACUCUCAGUGUCACACUCAGCUCUGAUGGCCUGUCGGGGACAGAGUUGUCCAAGAGGAGGGACAGAAAGAAGUCACUACCUGGGUCACUGAGCUGCUCAGGCUGGGCUCCAACUUGCCAUCAUCCUGCUCAGCCUCCCAGAGUGCUGGGAUCACAGGCGUGCCCUGCCACACUCUGCUGGGGAAGGCCUUUUCUUAAGCAUAGGGCUAGUUUUUUGGUUCCUUGUACUCACUUAAUCAUUACCAUCUGUGCAAACAAAAAAGUUGUACAUAUAAUUGUUUAUGGUGUGUUUAGAAGGGCGGUGGAGUUUAGUAAACACUAAGGACAGCCGCGAAUAUUUCACUGUGGCCUUCGACCCUAGUGGUGCAGCCGGCACUUGGCACUGUUUGUCACAGUGAAUUAGAUGACUUCAGUGAAUUCUGCAACGAGUGUCUUGCGGUGUAAGCCUUGGGCCUCCAUCCCCGGCAGUUUUCAGACCCCACAGGCGCUGCUCCUGGACCCUGCAGAGCUGUGGGUGAGGCCCAGGUGCUGGCUUGGGACAGCACACGUUUGGAAGGUUCUGGAAGUUUCUGGACAGCCUCCUAGGCGCGACCUCCCAGGGCUUCUUCCGCUGCCCUGACACUGCACGAUGAUCGCCUGGACCAGGAGACCCACAGCGACUGCAGGGGUCAGAGAAGGCAAGCCAGACUCAGUUUCCCCAGCUACAGCCCUGCAACACAGCACCUGACGCCAGGUGUGAGGCUCCAGCCACACCGAGCAGCACGCAGUUCCACAGGGCAUCUCUGGUAAUCCAGUCAAACACAGUCCACCUGCAGGGGGGUCCCGAGAUGUGCCCUCAGAUGCUCGUAGCUUCACCUGUGCCUUUUAACCUUUGGUUAUAAAUCAGGGCUCCCAGAACCCAUCCUGGUGCAGCUGGGUUGCUUGAGCAGCUCCAGAACCCAGGGAAGCACCAUCCACAGUGGGAGUUUGCAGGACACACGUGCAGGGGACAGCGCCAAGCACUAGGCUCUGUCCAGCACCACUUCCAGUGACCUCAGG